rnacentral:lncRNA from 10 species
UGGGAGCCAUAGACCUCGAAGCUGGGGCGUCUGACACCUGAGGCCCGAAGUAGGUGGCCAGCUUCUUAGAGGGCCAACCCAGGGCAUUAACACACCAGUGGCCGCAGUUGUAUUAUCUUGUGCAUUUGUCAAGAGAGGUCAUCCGAACGCUGAGAUAAAGGCUUGGGAUUCCAUUGUCUCAUCUCUUUCUGGGAGUGAUUUUCCUCUCAUCUGGAAGUGCAGAGACAGAGUCUUCAUAGGGAACUGAGAUUACCUCCAAAAAACAUUUGUGAAGUGAGCAAUUCCUAGAAGGCUGUUAAUGUUGAUUAAUGAAAUUAUACAAAAAGAAUCAUAAGAUAGCUGGAGAAGAAAAUUAUCUGUGAUGCCUGGAAAAGAUACGUCCCAGUGGGAGUCCUCAGAAGGUCUCCCUCUCCCUCUCCCGUCUCCCU